AACGAACGCUGGCGGCAUGCCUAACACAUGCAAGUCGAACGAGACCUUCGGGUCUAGUGGCGCACGGGUGCGUAACGCGUGGGAACCUGCCCUUAGGUUCGGAAUAACUCCCCGAAAGGGGUGCUAAUACCGGAUAAUGUCUUCGGACCAAAGAUUUAUCGCCUUUGGAUGUGCCCGCGUUGGAUUAGCUAGUUGGUAGGGUAAAAGCCUACCAAGGCGACGAUCCAUAGCUGGUCUGAGAGGAUGGUCAGCCACACUGGGACUGAGACACGGCCCAGACUCCUACGGGAGGCAGCAGUGGGGGAUAUUGGACAAUGGGCGAAAGGCUGAUCCAGCAAUGCCGCGUGAGUGAUGAAGGCCUUAGGGUUGUAAAGCUCUUUUAACCGGGAUGAUAAUGACAGUACCGGGAGAAUAAGCUCCGGCUAACUCCGUG
rnacentral:rRNA from 1 species